UACGUAGGGUGCGAGCGUUGUCCGGAAUUAUUGGGCGUAAAGAGCUCGUAGGCGGUCUGUCGCGUCGAUCGUGAAAACUUGGGGCUUAACCCUGAGCUUGCGGUCGAUACGGGCAUGACUGGAGUUCGGCAGGGGAGACUGGAAUUCCUGGUGUAGCGGUGAAAUGCGCAGAUAUCAGGAGGAACACCGGUGGCGAAGGCGGGUCUCUGGGCCGAUACUGACGCUGAGAAGCGAAAGCGUGGGGAGCGAACAGG
rnacentral:rRNA from 1 species